GGCAGUGUAGCUUAAUGGUAAAGUGUCCGCCUGUUCAAGGCGAAAGAUAGCCGUUCGAUUCGGUUCGCUGCCC
rnacentral:tRNA from 2 species